rnacentral:rRNA from 1 species
GACGAACGCUGGCGGCGUGCUUAACACAUGCAAGUCGAACGGAAAGGCCCUGCUUUUGUGGGGUGCUCGAGAGGCGAACGGGUGAGUAACACGUGAGUAACCUGCCCUUGACUUUGGGAUAACUUCAGGAAACUGGGGCUAAUACCGGAUAGGAGCUCCUGCUGCAUGGAGGGGGUUGGAAAGUUUCGGCGGUUGGGGAUGGACUCGCGGCUUAUCAGCUUGUUGGUGGGGUAGUGGCUUACCAAGGCUUUGACGGGUAGCCGGCCUGAGAGGGUGAACGGCCACAUUGGGACUGAGAUACGGCCCAGACUCCUACGGGAGGCAGAAGUGGGGAAUAUUGCACAAUGGGCGGAAGCCUGAUGCAGCAACGCCGCGUGCGGGAUGACGGCCUUCGGGUUGUAAACCGCUUUCGCCUGUGACGAAGCGUGAGUGACGGUAAUGGGUAAAGAAGCACCGGCUAACUACGUG